rnacentral:rRNA from 1 species
AUGCACCACCGCGACCCCGAUCCACUCCGGCGAGCUCCCGAGGCCACUGGCAUGCCCGCGGACAGCUGCCACUCCCGUAGCAUGUCGUGGUUCGUCAAGUCCUGCAUCCCUGCCGACCCCGACCGCCACAUCUCCGUCCCCGUCCCCGUCCCAGUCCCCAUCCCCGCUCCUGCCGCUGCUUCCUCCACCACCAGCCUCUGCUUCUCCGCCCAACCACCACCGCCCAUCUCCGCGCUGCCCGACGACCUCAUCCUCGAGUGCCUUGUCCGCGUGCCCAGGGUCUCCCUCCCGCCGCUCCCCGCCGUCUGCCGCCGCUUCGCCGACCUCCUCGCGUCCCACGCCUUCCUCCAGCUCCGCCGCGCGCGCGGUCAGCUCCAGCCCUCCCUGCUCGCCGUCUCCGUCCCCGACCACGGCGGCGCCUUUGCCCAGGCCCUGCUCCAGUUCCGGCCGGAGCAGCAGCAGCUCCAGGUCACCGCGCUGCCGCUGCCGCUGGCCCUGCUGCAUUGCGGCCGCUCCGUGUUCGCGCACGCGCGCGCCGUCGCGCUGGGCCGCGAGAUCUUCCUCGUCGGCCGCGGCGCCACGCUGCGGGUGGACGCGCUCACGGGUGCCGCGCGCGCGUGUGCACCCACGCUGUUCCCGCGGAAGAAGUUCGCGGCCGCCGCCGUGGGAGGGCGGAUCUACGUCGCCGGCGGGUCCGCGCGGACCGCGGCGGUCGAGGAGUACGACCCGGUGGCAGACGCGUGGCGCGUGGUGUCCGAGGCGCCGCGGAGGAGGUACGGGUGCGCCGGGGCCGGGGCCGGCGGGGUGUUCUACGUGGCCGGCGGGGUCGCGGUGUCCGGCGACGGAGCGCGGGCGCUCGGGGCGCACGUGUGCGCCGGGUCGGUGGACGCGCUGCACGUCGCGUCCGGCACCUGGGCGCGCCCGCGGGCGCUGCCCGGCGGCGGCUGCGUCGUGGGCGCCUGCGGCGUCGGCGACCAUCUCUACGUCGUGGCCAGCCACGCGGUGGAGCUUUCCUUCUGGAGGUGGCACGGUGGUGCCGGCCGAGGCAGCGAUCUCAGAGCUGGUGGCGGGUGGGUGGCGCUCGAGGCCCCGCCCAUGCCGAGGGGGUCGGUGGGGCUGGGCAUGGCGGUGCGGGUGACGAUGGCUGGCAUCGGGCGUGAGACAGUGACAGCCGUAAUGAGCGCGGCGGCAGUCCGGGGCCACAAUGCGGCGGGCGCCGGCCCGUUCGAAGGGAUGGUGCUGGCGUACGACAUCGCCGGCGGCAAGUGGAACCGCGCGCCGGACCUGCCACCCGGGUUCCGGCGAGCCGCCUGUGCGGGCGUCGAGUGCUGA